rnacentral:rRNA from 1 species
AGAGUUUGAUCAUGGCUCAGAAUCAACGCUGGCGGCGUGCCUAACACAUGCAAGUCGAACGCGAAAGCCCCGCAAGGGGUAAGUAGAGUGGCAAACGGGUGAGUAACACGUGGGUGACCUGCCUUCGAGUGGGGGAUAACCUUCCGAAAGGAGGGCUAAUACCGCAUGACAUACCGUGUUUGGAUACAUGGAUAUCAAAGCCGGGGAUCGCAAGACCUGGCGCUUGAAGAGGGGCCCGCGUCCGAUUAGCUAGUUGGUGGGGUAACGGCUCACCAAGGCUCCGAUCGGUAUCCGGCCUGAGAGGGCGGACGGACACACUGGAACUGAGACACGGUCCAGACUCCUACGGGAGGCAGCAGUGGGGAAUUGUUCGCAAUGGGCGAAAGCCUGACGACGCAACGCCGCGUGGAGGAUGAAGAAUUUCGGUUCGUAAACUCCUUUCGACCGAGAUGAAUAUCCGCCGACUUAACACGUCGGCGGACUGACAGUAUCGAGAGAAGAGC